GGAAGGGGAGGCUCGCCUCCCCUUUAAUUGGCGCUGUGGUUUGAUUUUGCCAGCGGAAUCGUCUGGACCCUAGGGGCAGAUGUCGCUGCGGAAGGCUGUUUCCCGAUGGGGUCACACGAGUUGUCCACAUGGGCCUUGAACUUCCUCUGCAGUCCGGGGAAAUCCUCUCCCCUUAGCCUUCAAGGAAGCUGGGACUACAAGCCUGCCUUACCAUGCCAGCCUGAUUCGCAUCAAAAUGUCUACACAAGCCGGACGAGGCUGUCUCCUGGAGGUGGCGUUACUGGCCCUUGUGAACAACCUAACGUGGGUGUUAAGAGCCAGAAUCAACUGGGAAUCCUCUAGAAGAGCAGAGCAGCAAGCAGGCUGGAGAGAUGACUCAGUGGUUAAGAG